rnacentral:rRNA from 1 species
UACGUAGGGACCAAGCGUUGUUCGGAUUUACUGGGCGUAAAGGGCGCGUAGGCGGCGCGGUAAGUCACUUGUGAAAUCUCUGAGCUUAACUCAGAACGGCCAAGUGAUACUGCAGUGCUAGAGUGUGGAAGGGGCAAUCGGAAUUCUUGGUGUAGCGGUGAAAUGCGUAGAUAUCAAGAGGAACCCCUGAGGUGAAGACGGGUUGCUGGGCCAACACUGACGCUGAUGCGCGAAAGCCAGGGGAGCAAACGGG